rnacentral:rRNA from 1 species
AUUGAACGCUGGCGGCAGGCUUAACACAUGCAAGUCGAACGGUAACAUAAAGAAGCUUGCUUCUUUGAUGACGAGUGGCGGACGGGUGAGUAAUGCUUGGGAAUCUGGCUUAUGGAGGGGGAUAACUACGGGAAACUGUAGCUAAUACCGCGUAGAAUCGGGAGAUGAAAGUGUGGGACCUUCGGGCCACAUGCCAUAGGAUGAGCCCAAGUGGGAUUAGGUAGUUGGUGAGGUAAAGGCUCACCAAGCCGACGAUCUCUAGCUGGUCUGAGAGGAUGACCAGCCACACUGGGACUGAGACACGGCCCAGACUCCUACGGGAGGCAGCAGUGGGGAAUAUUGCGCAAUGGGGGCAACCCUGACGCAGCCAUGCCGCGUGAAUGAAGAAGGCCUUCGGGUUGUAAAGUUCUUUCGGUAGCGAGGAAGGCAUUUAGUUUAAUAGACUAGGUGAUUGACGUUAACUACAGAAGAAGCACCGGCUAACUCCGUGCCAGCAGCCGCGGUAAUACGGAGGGUGCGAGCGUUAAUCGGAAUAACUGGGCGUAAAGGGCACGCAGGCGGUGACUUAAGUGAGGUGUGAAAGCCCCGGGCUUAACCUGGGAAUUGCAUUUCAUACUGGGUCGCUAGAGUACUUUAGGGAGGGGUAGAAUUCCACGUGUAGCGGUGAAAUGCGUAGAGAUGUGGAGGAAUACCGAAGGCGAAGGCAGCCCCUUGGGAAUGUACUGACGCUCAUGUGCGAAAGCGUGGGGAGCAAACAGG